ensembl:lncRNA
CAGCGAGUUUCCAACUUGUCUGUUUUCCUACUUCAACAAACACCAGUCUCUCAUUUUGUUUCAUGUAAAUUAAAUCAAACAAGUUAAGUAAGUCGGUAAACUCUUGGCUGUUCAUUCAUUCAACUCCUCAUAUGAAGUCAAAAUGCAUCAAGUUAUCAGAACGCAUGAUUUCAAGUUCUGAAAUGAUCAGAAAAUAACUAGACAUUUAAAAUUGAAAGGAAUAAAUUCUGCCUGGGUUUAAACCACGUCACAGAACUGGAACAGCUCUUUCAACAGUUUUUAAUGACCCACUCUGCUGUUCUGGUGAUUUUCGUCCUGACUGCUGCUCUCGACACUGAAUCAGAGAAUCCUUAUAUGGCAUCUUGAACAGUUAUUUUAAAAGCCAAAUGUAGAACAAAACAACCCCUCCAAUAAAGAGCUUCUCUGAAGAAUGGCAGAACAUCUCUGCAGACAUUUGUGCAACGCUGGUGUCCUCCAUGCUGAGGAUGAUUGAGGCUGUCGGCUAAUAUAAAAGUGAACAUAGGAAAUUUAAUUUAUUAAAUCUAAAUGGUUGUUUUUUAAUGAUAUAAAACUGUUGAAUAUUAUCAUGCAGCCCAACUUUGACAAACAUAAAACAGCAUGAGAUCUCACUUUGGUGUGCAGGUUGAUUUUUGUUGCAAAACUUAAACAAUCGUCUAAUCGAUAUAUUAAAAACACACAGAAAAGAGAAAACAAUGAUAAUAAGACUUUGUUUCAAACAGUUUAAGGUUUCAUUUAAAAACAGACAGCAAAAUUUGUCAGUGACAACAGAAUUCAAAAAACAACCACAGGAAACUAUUUCAUUUUGGGGUUAAAAUUCUUCACACAAAGCCAUGUAUCAUCAACAUUUUAUCAGCCAACCAGACUGAAGCUACCAACAAAAAUGAACUGAGGGAAUUGAAUAAUCUGUUUCUGUGGAGGUCCUGAAAAAGUACAAUACAUAAUGAUUGAUAAUUACAUAAAAAAUCUUCUCAUUCCAGCACUCACAAAGCAACGCUUCAAGUGUGUUACAUCAAAGUCAUCUGAUAUGAACAAACUGUUGGGAAGCAAACUGAAGUCUGUAUGAGUUGAAUUUUUAACUUCAACUGUCUUAUAGAAAGCUGAAGCUUUAUCUGAUAUGAAACCAGUCAGGUCUGUUACUUCCACAUUGUACUGCAUUGGAGACUGGUUUAAUUUAUUUUUUUUAAACAAAGAACCACCACAGAAAUACAGACUGAAGUUGAACUGGAUUGCAACCAAUUUACAUACACAUGAACUGAAGAAUUACGAAAAUAAUUAAAUAAAAAAAUUAUGCCGACGUGUAAACUCCUUUUCACGACAUUAAAUCUCAGCAACAUCAUCCCUUUCCACUCAGCUCCAGCAGAAACUGAUAACCAAUGAAAUAAACUAUUAGGCCGUUCCUCAGAAGUAUGACGUCUCCAGUUGUCUCUUUCGUAAAUGCAAUGUGCUUCUGGAAGUCGCCAUGCAUCCAUUGGACAGGUUGGCAGAUUCUUAAAGCUCCAUGUGUCUCAGACUGACAUGCAAUAAACUCACAGAAGCGACAAGACCUACUUUUACCCCGAACAAUGUGAAUGAAUGCGUGUUCUACUAAUCUUUGUUCCCACCGUUGUUCCAGGACGACAGCUUUUCACCUGUGUGAGUUCUCCUGUGACUAAUCAGAUGACUGCCUUGACUGAAACGUUUCCCACAUUUUUCACAAGAAUACGGCCUCUCACCUGUGUGUGUUCUCACGUGGUACAACAAAUCAUGACAAUGAAU